GUGAGGAAUAUUGGUCAAUGGGCGCAAGCCUGAACCAGCCAUCCCGCGUGCAGGAAGACGGCGCUAUGCGUUGUAAACUGCUUUUCCAGGGGGAGAAACUUGCGCACGUGUUGCGCAAUUGACGGUACCCUGGGAAUAAGCAUCGGCUAACUCCGUGCCAGCAGCCGCGGUAAUACGGAGGAUGCGAGCGUUAUCCGGAUUCAUUGGGUUUAAAGGGUGCCUAGGCGGACUAUUAAGUCAGUGGUGAAAUCCUGCAGCUUAACUGCAGAACUGCCAUUGAUACUGAUAGUCUUGAGUUUGGUUAAGGUAGGCGGAAUGUGUAAUGUAGCGGUGAAAUGCUUAGAUAUUACACAGAACACCAAUUGCGUAGGCAGCUUACUGAGCCGACACUGACGCUGAGGCACGAAAGCGUGGGGAUCGAACAG
rnacentral:rRNA from 1 species